rnacentral:rRNA from 1 species
AGAGCGAACGCUGGCGGCAGGCCUAAAACAUGCAAGUCGAACGAACCCUUCGGGGUUAGUGGCGGACGGGUGAGUAACACGUGGGAACGUGCCCUUUGGUUCGGAACAACUCAGGGAAACUUGAGCUAAUACCGGAUGUGCCCUUCGGGGGAAAGAUUUAUCGCCAUUGGAGCGGCCCGCGUCUGAUUAGCUAGUUGGUGAGGUAAAGGCUCACCAAGGCGACGAUCAGUAGCUGGUCUGAGAGGAUGAUCAGCCACACUGGGACUGAGACACGGCCCAGACUCCUACGGGAGGCAGCAGUUAGGAAUCUUGCGCAAUGGGCGAAAGCCUGACGCAGCCAUGCCGCGUGAAUGAUGAAGGUCUAGGAUUGUAAAUUCUUCAGCAGGGAAGAUAAUGACGGUACCUGCAGAAGAAGCUCCGGCUAACUUCGUGCCAGCAGCCGC